rnacentral:rRNA from 1 species
CCUACGGGGGGCAGCAGUGGGGAAUAUUGGACAAUGGGGGGAACCCUGAUCCAGCCAUGCCGCGUGUGUGAAGAAGGCCCUCGGGUUGUAAAGCACUUUCAGUGAGGAAGAACGCCUGGUGGUUAAUACCCAUCAGGAAAGACAUCACUCACAGAAGAAGCACCGGCUAACUCCGUGCCAGCAGCCGCGGUAAUACGGAGGGUGCGAGCGUUAAUCGGAAUUACUGGGCGUAAAGCGCGCGUAGGUGGCUUGAUAAGCCGGUUGUGAAAGCCCCGGGCUCAACCUGGGAACGGCAUCCGGAACUGUCAAGCUAGAGUGCAGGAGAGGAAGGUAGAAUUCCCGGUGUAGCGGUGAAAUGCGUAGAGAUCGGGAGGAAUAACAGUGGCGAAGGCGGCCUUCUGGACUGACACUGACACUGAGGUGCGAAAGCGUGGGUAGCAAACAGGAUUAGAUACCCUGGUAGUC